CAUUAGAUGACUGAAAAGCAAGUAAUGGUCUCUUAAACCAAAAUAUAGUAAAUUAGUAUAUACUUCUAAUGA
rnacentral:tRNA from 1 species